rnacentral:rRNA from 1 species
GACGAACGCUGGCGGCGUGCCUAACACAUGCAAGUCGAGCGAGAAGUCAGUAACGGAUUUCUUCGGAAUGAAGUAACUGAUGGAAAGUGGCGGACGGGUGAGUAAAAUGUAGAGAAUCUGCCCUUAAGUGGGGGACAACAUCUGGAAACGGGUGCUAAUACCGCAUAUGAGUACAACUGAGAUGUAGUACUUGAAAACUGAGGUGCUUAAGGAUGAGUCUGCAUCUGAUUAGCUAGUUGGGGGUGUAAUGGACCACCAAGGCGACGAUCAGUAGCUGGUUUGAGAGGAUGAUCAGCCACAAUGGGACUGAGACACGGCCCAUACUCCUACGGGAGGCAGCAGUAGGGAAUUUUGCGCAAUGGGCGAAAGCCUGACGCAGCAACGCCGCGUGAUUGAAGAAGCCCUUCGGGGUGUAAAGAUCUGUCAGUGGGGACGAAACUUGACGGUACCCACAGAGGAAGCAUCGGCUAAACUCCGUGCCAG